UGUCCUUUUGAAUAUAAUUUAAGGUCUAAUCUGCCCACUGAGUAAUUAAAUGGCCGCGGUAUUUUGACCGUGCGAAGGUAGCAUAAUCAUUAGUUUUUUAAUUGAAAGCUGGAAUGAAAGAUUGAAUGAGAAAAUAACUGUCUCAAAUUAAUUUAAUUAGAAAUUUAUUUUUAAGUUAAAAAGCUUAAAUAAUAUUAAAAGACGAGAAGACCCUAUAGAGUUUUAUAUUUAAUUUAUUUUUAAAUAAAUUGUUUAUAUUAAUUUAUUUUAAAUUAAUUAUUUUGUUGGGGUGACAGAAAAAUUGAAUAAACUUUUUUUAUAUUUAAAUACUUAUAAGUGAAUUAUUGAUCCAAAAUUUUUGAUUAUAAGAUUAAAUUACCUUAGGGAUAACAGCGUAAUUUUUUUUGAGAGUUCUUAUCGAAAAAAAAGAUUGCGACCUCGAUGUUGGAUUAAAGUUAAAUUUUGGUGUAGAAGCUAAAAAUUUAGGUCUGUUCGACCUUUAAAACUUU
rnacentral:rRNA from 1 species